rnacentral:lncRNA from 1 species
CGGACGCUUUGAAAGAAUGCAACCUGGCUGAUGCUCCUGUCUGCCCAAAACACCCUGGUGUGUCUUUAGCAUUGACCUCCAGAAGACAAGGACUUGCCAAUUAGCCUGGCACACUAAAGUCAGGUGGGUGGGGGAGCUGAAAUGCCACACAGCUAGUCCUCUCCAAGCCCAGCUUUUCUCUGCCCUUGGAGGAGAGAAUGAAGAUAUAUUGCCAGGGUUUGGGAGACAGAAUGAAAGAAGAUCAAGUUUAGGUGUGACCCAGUAUCAUCGAGCAGGGACUUUGUUUACUGCUAUUCAACCAGCACUUAACACAGAGUCUGGCUAAUUUUGGUGCCUCCACAGUGCCCAUCAUUGAAAACAAGAAGAUCCCAGAAAGCAUCAUUAUUAACUCACCACAUUUAUGGAGACCUACACUGGAUCCUAGGUCAGAACCCCUGUGAAGCUGAAUCACCUUUACUCUCCUAGAGACAGCAAGAUUGUUCCCCUCCACUGUGAGAUGGCAUCCCUUCUUCUACGUUUCACCAUUUCUGUUCACCUCAAGAUUUCCCUCAUACCCUGUUUGGCAAUUUCUGGAGCUCCCAACAUGACCAGUGUGAGGAACGAAGCUCAAGCAGAAUACUGAUACACUAACAUAUCUACUCAAGGAGUCUUUCUAUAAAGAGAUGUAAAAGCAGUGGCAUUGCAAUCAACAUGUUAACAGCUACUUCAGAGAAGCCAUUAGUCCCUGAGUUGCGGAGACACUUCUACUUCUUCUGGCCAUUUAAGUGACCACACCAUCUUACUGAUAUCCCAAAGUUCCCAAAAAAUUAAGCUUGAUAUAAACUUGAAACCUGGUAGAUUUUGAGUUACUUCCUACAUUUUCUACGUGAAACUUUCAAUUCUGUGUUAAAGAUAAAACUAACAUGUAACAAUAAAAUAAAAUGAAUUAUUCAUUUUAUUAGAUGAUUGCAAAGAGGUUAAUCCAUACAAUUUUUAUCUUAUGGGUUUCAUUUUCCAGAGAGGUGGUUUUGGUGAAUAAAUAAAUUAUAAAGUUCACUUAACAUUAAUCAAAUAAUCAUCAGUCAAUCAAUAUUUACCAAGCAGUGCUAUGCAAGUCUCUGUGCUAAGCACCAUGAGGGAUACAAAUCAGUGAUAAAGACCUUAAGCCCGGGCAAAGAUAGGGAAGCUGCAAGACUAAAGUGACAUACCAACAUGAAAUCUAAUCUACCUUCCAGACCCUGUCCUGGAUUUUAAAGACCCUGGAAUUCCCUUUCUAAAUGGUCCUGAGUCCGCUUCUAGGAACUGGAAGAAACUUUGCCAGGUCUUUUACUCCCAAGGCUGGAGAGUAUCUUGGAUGUGCAAACCCCUAGACCUGAAGGGUGGCCAUGGGGCACUUAAGGGAGAUAUUUCCAAAGGGUUAGGCAUGUAGGCUGGAGAGUUUUCUUGCAGUAUGAGACUAACUGGGCAUGGGGAGAAAAGGCAGGUGGGAUGAGAGGACAGCCAAGAGCCACUUUCCUCAGCCUCCAUGUUUAGAGACAUAGCUCCAAGGAACCUGAGAAUUUUAAAUUCAAACUUGCCUUCCAGGUUGUUAUGAAGGUACACUUGUCAAGAUAAGGAAAUAUAACUUUUUUUUAGCCUGAUUUAUAACUUUUAAAUUUAUAGUAGAUGUAGGAUAUGUGGCCCCCUUGCCUUGAGUCCAUCAAAUGUUUAGGAUGCGCCAAAGGAAUUAUCGUUUGUACAAGAAUUUUACAUUUAAGGAGAUGAAAUAAAGCAAAUGAUAAAAUCAACAAAAAAUGUUCAUUGUCACUCUUAAAGAACAUUAAAUAUGAGUUAUUUAAACCUAGGCUAUUAACCCAUUUGUUUUAAUUCUUUGAACAUAGGUAAAGCAUUCUUAGCUGGGCUUAGGUCCCUUAAGAAUACUUUGUUCGGAUGACUGGUUCUUCCUGAUUUGCUUUUGAGGCUAUUCCAGGAUUAUUUCAACAUGAUGUCUUCAGCAUAUGCAGUGUUACGUUUGUGUGUGGGUGUGUGUAUGUAUUAACAUAAAAAUCUAAAUUCUUUCAGGAGUUUGAAAAGUGAUGGCUGGAGGGACAGAUAUCUACAGUGAAUAUCUUGGCUAAACACAUUUAAAUAUGUAAGAGCUCAGAUUUGUUAUUAGAUUUUCCUAGUUUUUUCAGUAUAUAUAAAAAUUAAACAUACUGAACUCCAAAAGUAAUUGCUUUAUGUUAGAAUGACUUCUUAAUAUGAUCUAACUACUUUUGAUAUUAAAAAAGAGAAGAAAAAAUGAACGUAGAUAUGGUCACUGACCCACAGCAUGAGUAAAUAUGAUUUUCUACAGGUACUUCUUAUAACAGAGUUUAAUAUGCAGAGCAUGUGCCUUCAAUCUGUUUACACAAUGGAGAACAGAAUUAAAAGGUAAAAGAUUUUGCCUUUUAAUUUGCUUUCAUUUUUUUAAAUGUAUUUAAAUUAAAUGGUUCUAACAUUUAACUGUAUCCCAUUGCCUUCACCUAGUAGACCAGCUGUUCAAGCCUCUUAGGUAAAUAAUUAAAUGUUUUUCAAAAAUACACAAAUACAUAUUUAACCAAUAGACUGGAACAAAUAGAGCCUCAAUGGGCCAUUUGGAGCUUGGGACAAUUGGAAGAUUAUUGAGCUGGUAGCCCACUGUGGCUUAUGUUAACAUUUUUAGAGCAGGUUAAAAAAGGCUAACCUGAGCUCACUUUAAUGAAAGUCUUUAGAUAUUGCACAUUAGUGCAAGAUUAAAAAGUCAUAACAGAACAUUAUUGUAGAGGGGGAAACCAGGAUUAGAAGUGUUCUCAGUAAUGUUGUUUGUUAAAUACGCCCUAUCACACAGAAGGGAGAGAGAGCUUGGACUGGUUUGAAAACAAAAUAGAGUAUUUUUUAAAUUGUGAGCAUACAGUUCCAAUAUAUGCAGAUUUAUUUUAUUUAUGUUUAUAUGUUUAUUUAUAUAUUCAUUAUUUGCAAGUUCUUUGAAAAAAAAGGGUAAGAGACUUUAUUUAAAUUGUUGCUGAAAAAAUAUAGAGGUUUGAUUUUAUGUUAUAGAUAAUUUGCUUUUAUAUGUUUAUGAUCAGUUAGUCUCUCAAGGGACAAUCUAUGCUUAGAGUGAGCUUCUUGCUAAUAUUACUAGAAAUAAAGCCAUAUUUUAAAGAGUUAUUGAUUACUUGAAAGUUUGGGUCAAUUUCUUAUUAUAUUUAACUAGCCUCUUCCUGUAUUUUUUACACAUCUGAGAAAGACCAUGCACCAGGCAAGGGGAGUUCUGUUUGUACACACAUCAGUGAUACCAUCUUCAAACUGCAGCAAUUUUUCUGAAUUUACUCUAAGC